GACGAACGCUGGCGGCGUGCUUAACACAUGCAAGUCGAACGGAAAGGCCCUGCUUUUGUGGGGUGCUCGAGUGGGGAACGGGUGAGUAACGCGUGAGUAACCUGCCCUUGACUUUGGGAUAACUUCAGGAAACUGGGGCUAAUACCGGAUAGGAGCUCCUGCUGCAUGGUGGGGGUUGGAAAGUUUCGGCGGUUGGGGAUGGACUCGCGGCUUAUCAGCUUGUUGGUGGGGUAGUGGCUUACCAAGGCUUUGACGGGUAGCCGGCCUGAGAGGGUGACCGGCCACAUUGGGACUGAGAUACGGCCCAGACUCCUACGGGAGGCAGCAGUGGGGAAUAUUGCACAAUGGGCGGAAGCCUGAUGCAGCAACGCCGCGUGCGGGAUGACGGCCUUCGGGUUGUAAACCGCUUUCGCCUGUGACGAAGCGUGAGUGACGGUAAUGGGUAAAGAAGCACCGGCUAACUACGUG
rnacentral:rRNA from 1 species